rnacentral:lncRNA from 1 species
GCUUUCCAUCCAGUAUCAAUUUCCCUCAUCCUGAAAUAGUUCUUUUAACAUUUCUUAUAGUAUAGGGCUGCUGAUUAUAAAUUCUUUCAGCUUUUCUAUGUUAUGAAAAAGUCUUUAUUUUAUCUUGGUUUUGGAAAAAUAUUUUUCCUGGGUAUAAAAUUCCAGGUUGAUAGUUUUUUUUGUUUUCUUCCAGUCUUUUAAAAAAAUGUUGCUCAAUGCCUUCUGUCUUCCAUUAUUUCCAAAGAGAACCCUGCUGUUAUUCUGGUCUUUGUUCUUCAACUAUUAUAUCUUCAGUAUGUAAUGUGUCAUUUUCCCCCAUGACUGAUUUUAAAUUUUUCUAUUUAUCACUGUUUUAAAACAAAGAGGAUUAUGAUGAACGUCAGUGUUUUUUAUGCAUGUUUCUUAUGCUCAGAUCCAUUAACUCUGAUUCUGUGGGUUUAUAGUUUAUAUCCAUUUUGAAAAAUGUUGUGUGGUAGUUUUUACAAAUACUUUUUCUGUCCAUCCUCCGUUUCUUCAGUGACUCCAAUGCAUACAUAUCAGGAAGGCUGAAGUUCUCCCACAGCUCACUAUACUCAUUUCAAUUGUGGGUGGUGGUGAUUGUGGGUGGUGGUGGGGCGCUAUUUUUAUACUAUGUUUUCAGGUUCACUGAUAUUUUUUUCAAUAGUGUCUAACCUUCUGUUACUCCUAUCUAGUUUAUUCUUCAUCUCCAACAUUAUUAUGUUUUUGUUUUCAUGGCUCUAGAAGUUUGGUUUAGGUACUUAAAAAACUUUUAUGUCUCUAUUUAGCAUGCUCAAGCAUUUUUCUACUUCAGUAUUUGGAUAUUUGGUAUAUAGUUACCACUUUUAAUGUACUUGUCAACCAAUUAUAUUAUAGGUAUCAUCUCUGGGUCUGUUUCUGUUGAUUUUUUUUCCCUUCAUUGUGGGUUAUAUCUUCCUUCUCUUGUGCUAAAGCCUGGAACUUCUCUCCAUAUGGGAAUUUGGGCAGUAAUAGGGCUUAGUUCAUUUUGUUCUCCUCUCUCGGGAGUCAUUGUCUGGCACUGCCUAUUUCAAUUUCUGAAAACCUUGUUUUAUAUACUUUAUCUAGGGUUUUUUUGUUGUUGUUUCAGGCAGAAUGUUAAAUCUGGUUCCUGUUAUUCAAUCUUGACCCAAAGACAAAGUUUCUUUAUAAUUUAUUUUGUGUACUGUGGCUUGAAUUAUUGUUCUGAAUCUGUUUUGAUUUUGUCAUUGCCCUGCUUAAAAAAUUUUGGUGAUAACUCUUUACCUUCAAACCAAAGUUCUAAUCUUUAG